UUUAUCUGGACAGAAAAUUUAGGGUUUUAGAGAGGACAGACUGUUCAACUCAGAAUGGUGAGGUGUUUAGACAGACUAAUAAUACAGGCAAGCAAAGUGGUUCUUUCAGUCCCUGAACUGGACUGCUCGAUGGUGCUGUGAUUUUUUUAUUCCCCUGACAGUUUGAUUUUGCUGAGGGAAUAUUUUGCCUUUUACCGCUUUUAAGGCAGAAGUUCCCUGCACUAGUUCAAAAUCUUAAAAGGAACUUAUGCUGUUACAAUGACUGCUAUCCACUCAGCUGCAGCUGAUCAAGGAGACAGAACAGGCACAAUGAGAGUCAAUGGAAAAGUGAGUCUGGAUUUUGCAGGCUCACAUCAAUGAGACAGUCUUCAUGGCAAUACAGUCAUGGUGCCACCUGAGAAACUUCCACAAAAUUUUAGGUUGUCUCCCCUCCAUCUCAUUGGCAGCCUUUUAGGAACUGAAUCCAUUAAUGACCACAACCUCUCUCCACCCCAAGAAACUGGUGCCCUUUGUUCAUUGUGGAGAAUUAUGCAACCGGUUGAAAAUUUUCCUAUUGCAGGUUUAUACAGUCUGGUUAUUUUAUACACUUAUACACUUUGUUUUUUAAAUGCAUUAUUCAUAAUGAUGCUUUCAAAUCUGCUUUAAUCUGCAUUUAUGUGAUUAAGUAUAUGCAGCUGUUAACAAUCAUUUAGCUUCAAAAUAAUCUGACAUUAGGUAAUAGUUUACAGGGCUUUAUUAACAGAAGUUACAGACUGUUUUGAUCAAGAUCAUCUCUGUUAACAUCUAGUCUGUACAUUACACAGCAUUUUUACCUCCUCUAGUAUGUUGUUUUCUUCUUUCUUUGCAGCAGGUCCAUUAAAUUGAAUAGAGGGUACUUGCAGGUGCCAGAAAUAAAACAAAUAAACAAAAACCCUCAACAACCUUGCUUGCCUUUCUUUAUUAAUGUCUUCUUCCCUAGCCAGUACAGCUGUACUUAAACACAUGAAUUAUCUUGUUGCAGUCUUUCACUGAGCUUUGCAGCAUCGAUUGUCUAUAUUGCUUCUUCAUGUCAUGUUAGUGCAAUGUGAGACUAAUUCAUGGUGAAGACUCUUGAUCACAGAAUCACAGAAUGGAAAGGACCUCUGGAGAUCAUCGAAUCUAACCCACCUGCUCAAGAAGCUUCACCUAGAGGAGACUGCACAAGAAUGCUUCUAGGCAGGUUUUGAAUAUCUGCAGAGAAGGAGACUCAACCUCUCUGGGCAGCCAGUUCCCGUGCUCUGGCACCCUCAAAGUAAGAAGUUUCUCCUCAUGUUUAUGUGGAAUCUUCUGUCCUUCAGUCUGUGCUCAUUGCCCUGCAUUUGAUUGUUGCACCACUGUAAAGAGUGCCCAUCCUCUUGACACCCACCCUUGAGAUACUUAUAAACAUUGAUGAGAUCCCCUCUCAGUCUAUUCUUCUCCAGGCUGAACAGAACCAGCUCUCUCAGUCUCUCCUCAUAAGAAAGGUGCUCCAGGCCCCUAAUCAUCUUCAUAGCUCACCGCUGGAUGCCCUCCAGUAAUUUCUUGUCCUUCUUAAACUGGGGAGCCCAGAACUGGACACAGUACUCCAGGUGCAGCCUUCACCACAGCAGAGUAGAGGGAGAGGAUAACCUCGCUCGACCUGCUUUUCUUUAUGCACCCCAGGAUACCACUGUUCUUCUUGGCCACAAGGGCACAUUGUUGACUCAUGGUCAGCCUGUUGUCAACCAGGACUCCCAGGUCCUUCUCUGCAAUGCUGCUUUCCAG